GGAGCGGCGGAGGAACGAGAGGAAUGGCUGGAUCCCCUUCUAAUCCACUCUCAGUUUCAUCCACGUCAGAGCUUGAGACUGAUGGUGAUGAUUUGGGUUUCUACAAGUGGUUUGAAAAGUUCAAGCAGAACCCAGAGAAAGAAGCAGCAGAUAAAAGAACACUAGUUAGCAAAUGGCACCCGACGACAAAGGGUACACUUUGACGAAACUACAGAGUCCAAUCGAAAACCCAGGGGCGUCGACUUCUAAAAGUCGUAGCCUCCUUACUUUCAGACGACGAUCACUUCAGAGACGCGAGAGCGCUCAUGGAGAAAGCGUAUGUUGCAACAACGUGAGAGCAUUAUUUGAUGAGCUCCCGACACCGCAUUUGGUUGUCGAGGUCUCUCCGUUCCCAGCUGGCCCGCUCACGGAAAGUGAUUACGCUAGAGCUGAAAAGUUGGAAAGAGUUCUUAGAUCGGGUCCUUCUGUUUGAUCAUCGUGUUGUCUGUAACAUAAUGUACAUAUACAUUUUCAUUUAAUCAUCAAAACUAGAUAAAUCAUGAAUGAUGUGAUUUCUAAGUUGAUUUUGUGUUUUUUCUAGGAGCGGCGCCGCCGCUCACGGUAGCGGCAAUGAAGACAUGCGACGGUGGUGGUGCUGUUUCGACAAGAUCUCCGGUAAGGUCAGACUCCGAUGUUGAUGGUGACGACGGCAGCCGACCGGCGCCGGAGCUGCACCGGCGACGACUGCAGUAGAGGUGAGUGUGUUUGGUUCAAGUUCGGCUUAGAUUUCGUGCGCAGAUUCUGAUGUGGUUUGAGUUUUGGUUCGGGUUCACUUCAGAUUUUGUCAGGUUUUCGGCUCGGUUUUGGGUCUCGGUCAAAGCUGGCCAGCCACGGUUCGGGUGUGGUUCGAAAGGUCAGAUUGUGGUUCGUGACAAUUUGGGUCAACUAGUCAAACCCGGUCAACUCGGUUCGAUGUCGGGUCAACUCAGUCAACGACAGUCAAAGGCUCGGUCAACGAACGUCAAAGUCAGUCAACUGGUCAAAGCCAGUCAACAAAAGUCAAUGGUCAAACUGCCGGUCAACAGCAGUCAACCAUGGUCAAAACCAGACCCGGUAACAAUUUAAACAAUGCGAAAAUCUUGUUUAUAUAGUUAUAGAUUUUUAGUUAUACGCGACCCGAGCUCGAACCGACUGGAUUAGAAAUUUGUUACGUUUUUACAUUUCGACGAAAACUAUAUAUAUUGAUAAUUGUGGUUGGUUUA